CCUACGGGUGGCUGCAGUGGGGAAUAUUGGACAAUGGGGGGAACCCUGAUCCAGCGAAGCCGCGUGAGUGAAGAAGUAUUUCGGUAUUUAAAGCUCUAUCAGCAGGGAAGAAAGGAAUGACGGUACCUGACUAAGAAGCCCCGGCUAACUACGUGCCAGCAGCCGCGGGAAUACGUAGGGGGCAAGCGUUAUCCGGAUUUACUGGGUGUAAAGGGAGCGUAGACGGUUACGCAAGUCUGGAGUGAAAGGCGGGGGCCCAAACCCCGGACUGCUUUGGAAACUGUAUAACUGGAGUGCAGGAGAGGUAAGUGGAAUGCCUAGUGUAGCGGUGAAAUGCGUAGAUAUUAGGAAGAACACCAGUGGCGAAGGCGGCUUACUGGACUGUAACUGACGUUGAGGCUCGAAAGCGUGGGGAGCAAACAGGAUUAGAUACCCCUGUAGUC
rnacentral:rRNA from 1 species